rnacentral:rRNA from 1 species
UACGUAGGGGGCAAGCGUUGUCCGGAAUUAUUGGGCGUAAAGAGCGUGUAGGCGGUCCGGUAAGUCCGCUGUGAAAGUCCAGGGCUCAACCCUGGAAUGCCGGUGGAUACUGCCGGGCUAGAGUCCGGAAGAGGCGAGUGGAAUUCCUGGUGUAGCGGUGAAAUGCGCAGAUAUCGAGAGGAACACCGGUGGCGAAGGCGGCCAACUGGACGAAUACUGACGCUGAGACUCGAAAGCGUGGGGAGCAAACAGG